AGUUCUGGAAUGUCUUCCUUUUUCUUCCUGAGAGCUGCCCGGAGAGGUGUAAGGAUGCCUGGGGUGUCUGUGUCGUAGGAUGGACAGAGGUAGGGUAGAUAUCUCUAGUCCCUGAAGACCUCUUGGUGGUCUUGGAAGUGGACAUACUUUGGAAGUGAGUUGACGAUAUGAGACAUAUUAAAGCCAGACUAAGUGCAGCUGAUCUAAACAUUGUUUGCACCAAAACAGUGAAAAGUGAAUUGUCAUAAGCUAACAAUAACGAUCUUGACUGUGCAUGUCAUCUGUAAUAUCAUGUUAUCAUGCUGUUUUGUACCCCUUUAUGAUGAAGGGUUCAGGUGUAGUGUUACCAAUGCACUUCAUAUGUCUAUAUGAAAUAUAUGACCAAACGAUGAACAAAUACACAUGCACAUGGUGUCAUUUUCCAAUAGGGUGGAAGAGUUUGGUGAGUGUCCCCAAACUCGUUGGGGAGUACAUGAACAAGAAACUUAAGCUGGAUGUGUUUGUGACCCACACUGACCCUGGAUCAGAUCAAUGAGGCUUUGGACCUCCUGAACGGUGGGAAGAGGACCUUAAGUGAGCAGUUUAUGCUCGAAAACCCACAACUGUCGUUGAAGCAGUUCUGCAUGGAAGAGUGUGCCGAAAUUCCUCCACAGCGAUGUGAGAGACUGAUCAACAACUACAGGAAGCGUUUGGUUGCAGUCAUUGCAGCUAAAGGUGGCACAACCAGUUACUGAGUAUAAGGGGGCAAUUACUUUUUCACACAGGAGCAUUGGGUGUUGCAUAACUUUGUUUAUUAAAUAAAUGAAUGAAGUAUCAAUCUCUUUAUUAUUUGUUCACUCAGGUUCCCUUGACCUAAUAUUAGGUGUCCAAAAUAUGCAAAAAUAGAGAAUCAGAAAGGGGGCAAAUACUUUUUCACAGCACUACUUAACAUUGGAUAAUUACAUCACAGCUUUAGAGUUGGAGUUGUAGAGUAGGAUUACAUACAAAUAGUUCAAGCUCAUAUGAUGUCUUUGUGUCGUUGUCCCUUAAUUGUUAGCUAAAGUAUGUUUAUAGUUUGUAAGUGUCUCAAAUAAAUGCUCUUUAGCUCA